rnacentral:rRNA from 1 species
UACGGAGGGUGCGAGCGUUGUCCGGAAUCAUUGGGCGUAAAGAGCUCGUAGGCGGUCUGUUGCGUCCGCUGUGAAAACUCGGGGCUUAACCCCGAGCCUGCAGUGGAUACGGGCAGACUAGAGGUAGGUAGGGGAGAAUGGAAUUCCCGGUGUAGCGGUGAAAUGCGCAGAGAUCGGGAGGAAUACCUGUGGCGAAGGCGGCCUACUGGGCCGGACCUGACGCUGAGACGCGAAGGCGUGGGGAGCGAACGGG